rnacentral:siRNA from 1 species
AUAGAAUCUCAGGUUAACCGGUCC